rnacentral:misc_RNA from 1 species
GAAUAGCUUAUAAGAUGCCAGAGUAACAAAAGGUUUUUCUAAAAUUAAUAAAAUAGCAACAGUAAUGAAAGGUUUUGUACAGUCAAAUUAUAAGAGGAUCUCCGCGGAUAAACUACAAUACUACAACUAGUACGUUGACCGUACCAUGUCUAAAGCACAGUAUACGGCAACAAGAGGGGGCACUCGAGUAUGCAUAAGUGACAUCACGGUAUGAGCUACAAGGAUGAUGCCAACCGGAAAGCAUGUAUACUCUCCAAGGCCCCUCGGAAAAGCUGAGGAUAUCCGACUCCAAAAGAAAUGGAGCAAA